UCUGUGCUGCGCGUAUUCUGCCUUAGAGUUUGAUCCUGGCUCAGAUUGAACGCUGGCGGUAUGCUUAACACAUGCAAGUCGAACGGCAGCACAGGAUAGCUUGCUAUCCGGGUGGCGAGUGGCGGACGGGUGAGUAACGCGUAGGAAUCUACCUUUUCGUGGGGGAUAACCCGGGGAAACUCGGGCUAAUACCGCAUACGCCCUACGGGGGAAAGCGGGGGACCUUCGGGCCUCGCGCGGAAUGAUGAGCCUGCCUCCUAUCAGGUAGUUGGUGAGGUAAUGGCUCACCAAGCCGACAACGGGUAGCUGGUCUGAGAGGACAACCAGCCACGCUGGGACUGAAACACGGCCCACACUCCUACUGGAGGCAGCACUGGGGAAUAUUGGACAAUGGGGGAAACCCUGAUCCAACAAUACCGCGUGUGUGAAGAAGGCCUUCCGGUUUUUAAAAAUUUUUCCCCGGAAAAAAAGGCCCUUUUUUUUUCAAAAAAAAAAGUUCUGACUUUCUUGCGAAAAGCCCGGUUACUAAUUCGUGCCAACAGCCGCGGUAAUUCCGAGGGUGCAAGCGUUAAUCUAAUUACUGGGCGUAAAGCGUGCGUAUGCCGGUUGGUAAAUCGGGAUGUGAAAUCCCCGGGCUCACCUGGGAAAUUCCUUCGGUACUGGCUGGCUACAGUGUUGAAAAGGGAAGUGGAAUUCCAGGUUAACGGUAAAAUGAUUCAUGUCUGGGGGAACAUCGUGGCAAAUGCGGGUUCUGGAACCACCUAGCCGAUCCUGGAAACCAGGGAAGCAACGGGAUAAAUCCCGGGAAAACAGCCUUAAAAAAUGGACUCCCCCAGGGAACAUUGCUCUUUGUGAGGAGUAACUCGUUAUUUUGAGCGCCCUGAGAUAGACCUAAGCUCAAACUGAUAGAUUGCCGGGGCACUACAAGGGGUAGGGAGUGUCUUAAUCUGUCGCAGCGGAGAGACCUAUCUCUCUCUGCAGAGAAGUAUCUCUCCAAAGAAUAGGUGCUCUUGCGCUAAAA
rnacentral:rRNA from 1 species